rnacentral:tRNA from 1 species
GCCGGGCUAGCUCAAUCGGUAGAGCGUGCGGCUCUUAGAUUUUCACGAUGUCACCGCAAGGCUGCGGGUUCGACCCCCGCGUUCGGCU